AUGUCCCUCUGUGGGGGAUAGCCGCUUGAAAAAGCGAUUAAUACCCCAUAGGAAGCUUUAUCCAUGAUUUAGCUUUUAAAGCCUUCGGGCGCUGAGGGAUUGGGAUAUGCUCUAUUAGCUAGUUGGCGGGAUAAAAGCCCACCAAGGCAAUGAUAGAUAGCUGGUCUUAGAGGAUGAACAGCCACAAUGGGAUUGAGAUACGGCCCAUAUUCCUACGGGAAGCAGCAGUAGGAUUUCCUCGACUAUAGUCAGCUGCGCAGCAGAGAGUCUACGU
rnacentral:rRNA from 1 species